rnacentral:rRNA from 1 species
UACGUAGGGGGCAAGCGUUGUCCGGAAUUAUUGGGCGUAAAGCGUGCGCAGGCGGCGCGUUAAGACAGGUGUGAAAGCCCCGAGCUUAACUUGGGAAUUGCGCUUGUGACUGGCGUGCUGGAGUGUGGCAGAGGGAGGUGGAAUUCCACGUGUAGCAGUGAAAUGCGUAGAGAUGUGGAGGAACACCGAUGGCGAAGGCAGCCUCCUGGGCCAGCACUGACGCUCAUGCACGAAAGCGUGGGGAGCAAACAGG